GCCGGCGCUCGGCAAGCGGAAUCUGCGCCCAUUCGGCCUGGGCCUGCCGGCUGCGUUCUAUCGCAGCGUCGAUCCC
rnacentral:tRNA from 1 species